rnacentral:rRNA from 1 species
CAGUAGCCGCGGUAAUACGUAGGGCGCGAACGUUAAUCGGAAUUACUGGGCGUAAAGCGUGCGCAGGCGGUUGUGUAAGACAGGUGUGAAAUCCCCGGGCUUAACCUGGGAAUGGCAAUGGAUACUGGCUCGCUAGAGUGUGAUAGAGGAUGGUGGAAUUCCCGGUGUAGCGGUGAAAUGCGUAGAGAUCGGGAGGAACAUCAGUGGCGAAGGCGGCCAUCUGGAUCAACACUGACGCUGAAGCACGAAAGCGUGGGGAGCAAACAGGAUUAGAUACCCCCGUAGUCCCUGUCUCUUAUAU